AUGCACCCCGAAAUACCCCCAAAAUCCACCCAAAAAUCCGUGAACUACGCCCCAAAAUCCCCCCAAAAUCCUCCCCCAAAUACGCCCCAAAAUCCAACCCAAAAUACGCCCCGAAAUCCCCCCAAAAUCCUCCCCAAAAUCCGCCCCAAAAUCCUCCCGAAAAUCCUCCCCAAAACCCGCCCCAAAUCGGCCCCAAACUCAGCCCCAAACUCAGCCCCAAAAUCUGCCCCAAAAUCCGCCCCAAAAUCCGCCCCAAAAUCCCCCAAAUCAGCCCAAGACACCCCAAAAUCCCCACGGGGAUCCCCCAAAUCCCCCGGGACACCCCAAAAUCCCGGAUUGCAACCUGGACCGGGACCGGGACUGGGAACGGGACCGGGAUCAGAACCGGGAUUGGGAUCAGGUUUGGGAUUGGGAUCAGAACCGGGAUUGGGACCGGGAUCAGAACCGGGACCAGGAUCAGGUUUGGGAUCAGGGUCAGAACCGGGAUUGGGAACGGAAUUGGGACCGGGAUUGGGACUGGGACCGGGAUCAGAACCGGGACUGGGACUGGGACCGGGAUCAGGUUUGGGAUCAGGAUCAGAACCGGGAUUGGGACCGGGAUUGGGACCAGGAUUGGGACUGGGAUCAGAACCGGGACUGGGACUGGGACUGGGACCAGGAUUAGAACCAGGAUUAGAACCGGGAUUGGGAACGGAAUUGGGACCAGGACUGAGACUGGGACCGGGAUCAGAACCGGAAGGUGGACCAGGAUUGGGACUGGGAUCGGGACUGGGACCGGGAUCAGAACCGGGAUUGGGACCGGAUCAGAACUGGGAACAGGACUGGGACUGGGACACGGAUCGGGACUGGGAUCAGAACCGGGACUGGGAUCAGGUUUGGGAUCAGGAUCAGAACCGGGACUGGGGCCAGAACCGGGAUGGGGACCAAGACUGGGAUCAGGACUGGGACUGGGAUCGGGACCGGGACUGGGACCGGGACCUGGAUUGGGACCGGGAUCAGAACUGGGAACGGGACUGGGACAUGGAUCGGGACUGGGAUCGGAACCGGGAUUGGAACCAAGACUGGGACUGGGACCGGGAUCAGAACCGGGACUGGGAUUGGGGCCGGGAUUUGGAAUGGGACGGAGCCGGAACCAGGAUUGGAAUCAGACCUGGGACCAGGACCGGGACCGGGACCGGGAUCAGGAUCAGAACCGGGACCGGGACUGGGACAGGGGUCAGAACCGGGACUGGGACAGGAACCAACACCAGGACCGGGACAGGGAUCAGAACCGGGACCAGGAUCAGAACUGGGACUGGGAACGGAAUUGGGACCAGGAUUGGGACUGGGACCGGGAUCAGAACCGGGACUGGAAUCAGAACCGGGACUGGGACUGGGACUGGGAUCAGAACCGGGAUUGGGAUCAGGUUUGGGAUCGGGAUCAGAACCAGGACUGGGAUCAGGUUUGGGAUUGGGAUCAGAACCGGGAUUGGGACCGGGAUCAGAACCGGGACCAGGAUCAGGUUUGGGAUCAGGGUCAGAACCGGGAUUGGGAUCAGGAUCAGAACUGGGACUGGGAACGGAAUUGGGACCAGGAUUGGGACUGGGACCGGGAUCAGAACCAGGAUUGGGAUCAGAACCGGGAUUGGGACCGGGAUCAGAACCGGGAUUGGGACUGGGACUGGGACAAGGAUUGGGACUGGGAUUGGGACCGGAAUCGGGACUGGGAUCAGAACCGGGAUUGGGACUGGGACCAGUAUUGGGACCAGGAUCAGAACUGGGACUGGAUCAGAACUGGGACUGGGACCGGGAUCAGAACCGGGAUUGGGAACGGAACUGGGACUGGGACCGGGAUCAGAACCAGGACCGGGAUCAGGUUUGGGAUCAGGAUCAGAACCGGGAUUGGGACCGGGAUUGGGACUGGGAUUGGGACCGGGAUCAGAACCGGGACUGGGAUCACCGGGGAUGGAGGGUCCGGGUCAGAACCGGGACUGGGAUCAAUGGGAUGGAGGGUCCGGGUCAGAACCGGGUCAGAACCGGGAUCAGAACCGGAUCAGAACCGGGACUGAGAUGGGAUUGGGAUCAGAACCGGAUCAGAACCGGGACUGGGAUGGGAUUGGGAUCAGAACCGGAUCAGAACCGGAUCAGAACCGGGACCGGGAUGGGAUCAGAACCGGAUCAGAACCGGGACUGGGAUGGGAUUGGGAUCAGAACCGGAUCAGAACCGGAUCAGAACCGGGACCGGGAUGGGAUCAGAACCGGAUCAGAACCGGGACCGGGAUGGGAUUGGGAUCAGAACCGGAUCAGAACCGGGACUGGGACCCCUCCGGUACCGGAUCCCCAUCCCGGUACCGGAUCCCCAUCCCGGCCGGUACCGGAUCCCCAUCCCGGUACCGGAUCCCCAUCCCGGUACCGGGUCCCUCCCUGCCGGUACCGGGGGCUCGGCUCCCGGUGGGUCCCUCCCCAGCAGAGCCACGGCUCCGUUUCUGCCGGUACCGGAGGCUCUGUCCCCACCCGAACCGGGUCCUCAUUGCCGCCGGUACCGGGUCCUCAUUGCCGCCGGUACCGGGUCCUCAUUGCCGCCGGUAA
ensembl:lncRNA